GCCCGCUUAGCUCAAAGGU
rnacentral:tRNA from 1 species